rnacentral:rRNA from 1 species
CUACGGGAGGCAGCAGUAAGGAAUAUUGGUCAAUGGAGGGAACUCUGUACCAGCCAUUCCGCGUGAAGGAUGACGGCCCUCUGGGUUGUAAACUUCUUUAGUCUGGGAAGAAAAGUUUGCAUUUAUGCGAAUCUGACGGUACCAGAAGAAUAAGCACCGGCUAACUCCGUGCCAGCAGCCGCGGUAAU